CUUUACUGCAACUUGACGUUGGAACUUGGCUGUAUUUGUGCAGGAUAGGUGGGAGACUUUGAAGCAGGGCCGCCAGGUCUUGCGGAGUCGUCGUUGAAAUACCACCCUGGUGCUGACGAGUUUCUAACCGUGUCCGCAAGCCGGACAUGAGACAGCGUCUGGUGGGCAGUUUGACUGGGGCGGUCGCCUCCUAAAAGGUAACGGAGGCAUUCAAAGGUCCCCUCAGCGUGGUCGGUAAUCACGCGCAGAGUGCAAACGCAUAAGGGGGCUUAACUGCGAGACCGACAGGUCGAGCAGGUACGAAAGUAGGAGUUAGUGAUCCCGCGGUUUAGCGUGGAAUUGCCGUUGCUCAAUGGAUAAAAGGUA
rnacentral:rRNA from 1 species